CAGUCGCCGCGGGAAUACGUAGGGUCCGAGCGUUGUCCGGAAUUAUUGGGCGUAAAGAGCUCGUAGGCGGUUCGUCGCGUCUGCCGUGAAAUCCUCAGGCUCAACCUGAGGCGUGCGGUGGGUACGGGCAGGCUAGAGUGCGGUAGGGGAGAAUGGAACUCCUGGUGUAGCGGUGGAAUGCGCAGAUAUCAGGAAGAACACCGAUGGCGAAGGCAGUUCUCUGGGCCGUAACUGACGCUGAGGAGCGAAAGCGUGGGGAGCGAACAGGAUUAGAUACUCGAGUAGUCCCUGUCUCUUAUAC
rnacentral:rRNA from 1 species